rnacentral:lncRNA from 1 species
AAAGGAAGAGCAGAUAACGGUAAAACUCAUGGUUCAAAGUCUAAUAUUGAAAAUGUAUGUUGACCUGAAAAAAUAUUUUAAUAGAUAAUGGAAGCAUUAUCAUGCAGUGCUGUUAUUUCUGAAUUAACUAUUUUAUUCUCUAUGUUGUCAUCAAUUUUCUUGUUAAUUUUUAAAUAAAGCACUUAUGUUUUGCAGAGUCCAGUAUCAGAAAACACAUCAAGAUGUUGGCGCUAACCUUCCAUGCUGGGGCUAUGACUGCUCUUGGGUGACAUCUUGUCCAAAGAUAUUUCUUCACUUUUCAGGUCUGAGUCUCUCACAGAAUCAUCUGCAUGGCUCCCAGGGAGACUCCCAAACGUUGAGGAAAUUGGUGAGUUCCCUCCCCACUUCCUUCCAUCUUGACUCAGUAGCCAAGGGGUGAGGAAGCCAAAUUUCCUCAUGGACCAAGCAGCUUUAUUCAGAAAGCCAUGGUCUACGAGAUCUCGAAACAUAAUCUGUGUUUUUGAAUACAGAGAAACACAAGGCUGUCUGGAUGCUUCACUGUCUGAGGGGAUGCCUGAUUCUUGGGAACUGAGCUGUCCCAGGAGCCAUGGAAUCUAACCUGAAAAACCUAUGACACAUGCCUCUUAAGGCAGCUAAACAAGGCCAACUUCAUGAUUCCCCCUCAAUAAGAAGCAAUGAUUGGACUCAGUAU